AUUCACCAAAUAAUAUAAUAAAAUUAAUAUAAAUGUCAAAUUUCUUAAAAAAUAACAAUUAAUGUAUAUACAAUAAAAUCAAAUAUUUUUCUUAUCUUAAAAUAAAUAUAUCUUAAAAUAAAAAAAUCUAAAUAAGAAAUUUUUUGUAAAUUAAGAAAAUUUCAAAGUUUCAACAUUAUUAAUUUAUAGAGGUUCUAAUGUAUGUUACAAAAAGAGACAUUUUUACUAUAUGUAAAUAUCACAACUUUAUGUUUUCUUUGAAUGUUUAAGAAAGAAUCUAGUGAUAUAAAGUUACAAACAAAAAAAAGAAAGAAUCUAGUGAUAUAUGCGUGACAAUUACUAAAAUACAAUAAAUGUAAGCAUUUCCAAUUUUCACUAGUUAAUGCUCAUUAAUGAGAAACUCUAAAAUUUCCAAAAUUAUCUAACUUACCCACAGAAAUGUAAUCUCAGUGUGGACAAUACAGUAUAAAUAUAUGAGCGCAAUUGACUAGUAGGUAAAAGAAGAAGAGGAGAAAAAUUAGAAAGACCCAAAGGCUUGGUUGUUUGAUCAAGAAAAAAUGGAAACAGGUUUCAUCCUAACCAUCGUCUUUGUGGCGCUCUUCAUCAUUUCAGCUAUUGUAGCUUGCUGGGUUUGCGCCCCAAAACUCAUCAAACGGUUUGGGAGCGAUCCAGCAUAACUAUUAGUAUCUUGUUACCAGUUAAAUUAGCUGUCUUUUUUGUUAUUUUAUUGAUUAAAUAGCAGAUCGAUGCUGCGACUCUGCAAAAUUUAUCGUUUAUCCUUCCAUUUAAAAAUGUUUUCGCUUAAUGAUAUUGUAGCUCUAUUAUAUUUUUCAUAAAUGAAUUAUUGAUUUUUAUAUAUUGCUGUGUUAUAUAUUACUAGUACAUCUUUAUCAUCAACCCAGCCGUUGAGAAAUCACAAAAACAACACUCUAGUUUAUACACUCAAAUAGAAUAUUCAAAUUCAAAAACCACUAGCUAUGUGCAAUUGUGCAUACAUUUACCAUCAUCUCCAAAAAGAGGUCAUGAGGGAUGUCAAUAGUGUCAACUGUCAAGCCUGCCUACAAGGCUACAAAUCAGUAGAUGACCUUAUGACAUGAUAAAAAGUUCGCUAUCUUCUUCUUUAGAUCUAGUGCAAUCGCAUGAUUUAAUAGGAGUAUAUCCAGCGAUCGAACUACUUUUCUUCCCUCGAUCUCUCUAAAUGCUGAUGACACACCCUCUCAUGAUCGUAUCUGGACGGAUAAUUUGAGAUCCAACAAAUAUAACAUCAUAAGUGUCCAUAAGAUGAGUAAGAAUUCAACUAAAGAGUUAGUGAUUUGUGGAUACUGCGGUAUUUACCAUACCAUCAAGAGAGCAGCAGGUUCAACAUUCAUGAUAUUGUCUCUUCUUUCAUCGAGGAAUUCAGCGACUGAGGAUACGAAAUCAAACACACUAACCAUCUCAAAAUGUCUACUGAGACAAGUUUUAAACAUGAACAUACUAAAAAAGCAAAAACGACAAGAUAAACUUUUAAAGCCUUACUGAUAGUCAAUGAGUCAUAAGUAACUAGCAAGCACACACAUAAAGAAGAAAGUCGAGACUUCAACGAGUACAUGCCCGUUCAAACGCGAAGGGACCAACAGAGUAUAAAACGUAGUCGGUUCAGCUAUGUUGAUUGAUUUAGAAGGGACGGUGCUUGUCACCGUACCAGCCGCGGGACCGGGGUUCGUGGGCCAAGCCCGGCACGUGUGGAAAGCGUAGGUUGUGAGUUUAUUCGGAGCUAACAUGAAGAAGUAUCCGCUUUUGACCGCCUUUGUCUCCAUCGUUAUACCUGUCUUUGUGUUGUUGCAUGCAAGCUUUACAGUCGCUCCUGCAGUCGAAACCGUAUUUGUCAUACUUAUAAAUGAAGUGAAACCGUAUUUGAUCAUUAGUACUUCUAACACUAAUUUUUUCCCCGAAAAUUAGAUAGUUGCCGUCCUAUACUCAAAGCCAAAUAUAAAGGGAUUCUAGCAUGUCCACAUCAUCAAUUAUAUUUGGCCAAUAAGAACAUUUCAUUAAUCCAUUGGAUAACACGAGGCUCUACGCUUCUCGCUCUUCGUCUUCACCUUUCUUCACCAUCGUUUCAGUUCUCCCGAUCCAGAACUCCACUACAUCUCUAUCCAUCAAUUCCUUCUUUAUGAUUUCGAUUCCGUUUAGAUUGGUUAGGGUUUAGAUCUCGAUUUGCUCAAUUUGUUGUUCAUUUGCUUUUGUAGGUGGUUACAGUGAAAGUGUUAUUAGCUUAAACGAUGGAGAAGGUGUACGAAGAGCUAGACGAAGUCAAAGCCGCGAACGAGAAGCUCAGAGGAGACUUCAGAGCCAAAACGAAGCUUCUUGAGAACCUAAAGAAGGUUCAGAACAAGCAGUUGAUAGAGAUUCAAGAGGCGAGAUCUGUAAUCGAGAAGCAAGGUUAUGCCUUCAGAAACUCACUUAGGUCGGACUUUGUAAAUUGCAAUCAUGUGGCCGCUUUGCCUUCUGGAGUUUCCAGUGGAUUCGAUAGUUUCUUUUCAGCGUCAUAAUUCAAAUCUCCACUGAUGUUUCAUCUUAUUGGCUUAUUUAAGUGAUUUCUUAAUAAUCCACAUGACCAGUAAGCUCCAUGCAUGAUCAUCUCACGUCGACUCUGCUUUUUUUUUCUGAUUGGGGAUCCUUGAUUCUUGCUUUCUUAAUAAGAUAUUUUUUCUGAUAAUUCCUUUUUCCGUCACAAACGAAAUGGGAACACAUUGAUAAUAUAACCUCCACCCGUGUUCUUUCUUAUAUAAUUGGUGUGAUCUAAUAUUUUAACAAGCUUCAGUCUUGAUUAAUUUGUGUUUUUGGUUUUUCACAAGGAAGGUAUGGUGAUGGAGAAUGAGUAAUACGACACCUUAACAGUCAAAACUGAUACUUCCGAAGCUAACACUAAAAAGACAAGCAAGGACAGUUCAUCGGAGAUUCUCAAGCUACUACAAAAUUUCAGUUCUGUUUUUUGGUUCAAGGUGAUGGGAUCAGUCCUUGCGAUUAAACAUAUUACUCACAUUUUUCCUGAGCGAGAGUAUAUGAUUGGGUAAUUGAUGUCUCUUGGUUUUUGCAAGUGUUCAAGAAUUCCUGGUGUUCUCUUUGACCUUAUGUUGAUUUAGAGUACAAAAAAUACAGAGGUAAUUACUUUUCUAUUAUCUGCUUGAGGGCUUUGUCUUCGUCAUUUACUUAUUGCCGUUAGCGUUAAAAAGAAGUUUGUGUCAUGUUUGUUGCUUUUAUAUGGCUUGCAAGUUUUGUCUGAAUGACCAGGUGAAGAGAGAGAGAAGCGUCGGUCGCGCUACGUCGGUGCCGCCAUUAGAGAGAAACUGUUUUUAUUGGCAGCAGAGCAGACAAGAAACAACAUGGAGAGUAAUAAUGAAGUCUAUGCUAUGUUAGAAGGUUUGAAUUGUUGGACAUGGUGGUGAUGCACGAAGUGUUAUUGUGGGCACAAGGAAGGGCUUGUGAGGAACAUAUACUUCCCGUUUGACAUAGAAAGCGACACGGCAAUUAGCGUUGCAAGAGAGAUGGUGGAAGAGCUGGAGAUGGACGACCGUGAUGUGACAAAGAUAGCUAACAUGAUCGAUGGAGAGAUUGCUUCUCUGGUUCCUGAUUGGAGAUCAGGCCUAGGGUUUGAGAGCAGUUUUUGCAACUGCGCCUCGAACCAGUCAGCUAUAGACUUCAACGUGAGGCAGUGUUGUACAAACAUGUGUGGAGAGAAGCAUGGACGGUUUGAGGAGAUCACUUUGGGACUACACAACUUUGGCAAAGCUUUAUAUUCCCAUGGAAAAAUGACAUUUUUGCUGUCUUUUGUUAAUAUGUGUAGAAUUUUUUACAGUAAUGUUGACAAACCAAGAAAUAUCACAGUAAUUAUUUAAUCAUAGCUCAUUAGGCCGGUGACUGUCUUGAAAUCAGUUUAUCAUUCUCAAUUUUGAAAAAUAAACAAAAAGACAUUCUUUUUUA